rnacentral:antisense_RNA from 1 species
GCUCUUUGGAAACCAAGAAACACUCUGCAAAUGAAAAGGGUGGAAGAGUAAACUGUUCCUGUUUCUCCAUCUUGACAGGAAGCAGAAGUUCUCCUUAGCUGAUUUUUCUUCUUGCCUUAUACUGGGUUCUUUAACACCAGAACAAAAAUAAAUAAAUAAAAGAAUCUUCCAGAAAUUCAUGAAGAGACUUCAGGUCAGGAAAGCCUGAACUUUCUCAUCCAACACCUGUUCAAGUCGGAGGAUGCUGAUUAAUUCAUGAUGGAAAGGUAUCAAUUUCACAGCCCAGACCUCUACAUUCUUGAAAUGCUCUUCUCAUGGGAGACAUUAAAUAAGCUUUGAAUUAACUGAAGAACCAAUGAUGUGAUCCCUGGAUACUGGCAAUUGUUGCCCAAGAAACCCUCUCCCCUUGCUAUGGGAGUGCUGGGCACCCAAAUAAUGCACCCAAAUAAUUUGAUAGCUCUUGUUACACAACUCUUCUUGGACUAAAAGGCCCUCAGCAUUCCUGUCAAUUUCUACACUCCUGAAGCUUCAUCUGGAGACCUCUGUGGAUUCUAUAACUCAAAGACCCAGGCUGACGGCUGGUGGAAUAGCUACCAUCUCAAACAUGGCGUGAUGCUGCAUCAGAGAGAAAAAUAAGCUCUUGCAUUGACAAUGAAAUGUCUACCCUGUAGUGACUUGUGCUUACUUCCACUCACAAGUGAUUGCCCAGAGCUACUUACCUGGCUCCAAUCUACCACUGGUGCCAUGACACCCAGGAUGCAGCUGUAGGAACACCACUGGGUCCCUGGAUGUCAUGUAAGCCCUUAAGUAAAAGUGCCAUCAAAUGAUUUCUCAGAAAUUAUAAAGAAACAAAA